rnacentral:rRNA from 1 species
AUGGAGGCGGCGCGGGAUUCGAUGGCGGCCCUCCUCGACGCCGGCAUCUUCGACUCCGCCCAGACGCUCGGAUGCUUUCUUGUGUCUUCUGGUGGUGCAAGUAAUGAGGCCAGCAUACCCAUGAAGGCAGAAAGCUUGGUCCUGCACGGUGAUGCGUUGUAUGGGGGGAAAGAAUUUCGGAGGGCAUUGAAUGCCUACAAGCAAGCUGUGCAAUGUAGCAAAAGUAUCCCCAGACAAGCAACAAGUACUGCCAGAAUCUCAGUUUCCACUACCGGCCGGUCACCUUCUCCAAGUUCUUCAAAUGUUAUGCCAUUCAAUGAAAAUGAGGUGAAGUCUAAAAUAGCUAUUUGCCAUUCUGCUUUACAUGAGUAUCGUGAAGCACUCCAAGAGAUGGAAGGGAUUCCUUCUAAAAUGAGAAAUCUAAAAAUGAAUCUGAUGUUAGGCAAGCUUUAUCGAAUAUCCAGAAAUAAUCGUGUGGCUGCCAUAUGUUAUAAAGAGUGUUUGAGGCAAUGCCCUUAUGUAUUUGAGGCUAUUGCAGCUUUGGCUGAAAUGGGGCUUUCUUCAAAGGAGUUCUCUUUACUAUUUGCACAAGCACCAAAUAGAGGAGGCAAGUCACCAGGUGAUUUUUUGGAUGCACAACGUUGGUGGAAUCGUUAUGUAGAGGCCCAGUGUUGCAUUGCUUCACAUGAUUAUAAAGGUGGCCUGGAUAUAUACCUGGAACUAAUGCAACGAUUUCCCAAUAAUGUGCACAUCUUGCUGGAAAUUGCGAAGGUUGAAACCAUCAUAGGCAAGAAUGAAGAAGCAAUCAUGAAUUUUGAGAAGGCUCGGUUAAUUGAUCCAAACAUCAUGACAUAUAUGGAUGAGUAUGCAAUCCUCCUAAAAUUAAAAUCGGACUACACUAAGCUAAACAAACUGGUACAUGAUAUGCUGCAUAUUGAUCCUGCAAGACCAGAAACAUGUAUUGCUCUUGCAGCAUUUUGGGAAAGAAAAGAUGAAAGAAAAGCUUUGACAUAUGCUGAAAAGAGCCUUCGAGUUGAUGAUAGGCAUAUAACCGGCUAUAUUAUGAAGGGCAAUCUGCAUCUUUCAUUGAAUCGACCAGAUUUGGCAGUAACAGACUUCAGGGGAGCUCAAGAACUAAGGGCUGAUCUUCGCUCUUAUCAAGGUUUGGUGCGUGCUUAUCUAGCACUUUCCAAAUGCAAAGAUGCAUUAUUCACUGCACGUGAAGCAAUGAAGGUUAUGCAUCAGUCUGCAAAAGCUCUCAAGCUAGUUGGUGAUGUGCAUGCUAUCAGUUCCAGUGGGAGAGAGAAGGCAAGAAAGUUCUAUGAAUCUGCUAUUCGUCUCGAACCUGGAUUUCUUGGAGCAGCAUUGGCAUUGGCUGAUUUGCAUGUUGCUGAAGGACGGAAUAAGGAGGCAGUUUUGUUACUUGAAAGAUAUCUAAGACAAUGGGCCGAUGAUUCUCUACAUAUCAAGUUGGCUCAAGUAUUUGCAGCAACAAGUCUGCUUUCGGAUGCACUCUCCCACUACCAAUCUGCACUAAGGAUAAACCCACACAAUGAAGCAGCCAAGAAAGGAUUGGAGCGCUUGGAGAAGCAAAUGAAGGGAGUAGACCCGGAUGCGCCUGAAGACGAGGACGAGAACGAAGCUGACGACGUCGAUGGUGACCAGGAUGACGCCGAGUUGCUUUAG